UCCCACCCGUGUCUAUCGUACCUUGUUGCUUCGGCGGGCCCGCCGUUUCGACGGCCGCCGGGGAGGCCUUGCGCCCCCGGGCCCGCGCCCGCCGAAGACCCCAACAUGAACGCUGUUCUGAAAGUAUGCAGUCUGAGUUGAUUAUCGUAAUCAGUUAAAACUUUCAACAACGGAUCUCUUGGUUCCGGCAUCGAUGAAGAACGCAGCGAAAUGCGAUAAGUAAUGUGAAUUGCAGAAUUCAGUGAAUCAUCGAGUCUUUGAACGCACAUUGCGCCCCCUGGUAUUCCGGGGGGCAUGCCUGUCCGAGCGUCAUUGCUGCCCUCAAGCACGGCUUGUGUGUUGGGCCCCCGUCCCCCUCUCCCGGGGGACGGGCCCGAAAGGCAGCGGCGGCACCGCGUCCGGUCCUCGAGCGUAUGGGGCUUUGUCACCUGCUCUGUAGGCCCGGCCGGCGCCAGCCGACACCCAACUUUAUUUUUCUAAGGUUGACCUCGGAUCAGGUAGGGAUACCCGCUGAACUUAAGCAUAUCAAUAAGCGGAGGAAAAGAAACCAACAGGGAUUGCCUCAGUAACGGCGAGUGAAGCGGCAAGAGCUCAAAUUUGAAAGCUGGCCCCUUCGGGGUCCGCGUUGUAAUUUGCAGAGGAUGCUUCGGGUGCAGCCCCCGUCUAAGUGCCCUGGAACGGGCCGUCAUAGAGGGUGAGAAUCCCGUCUGGGACGGGGUGUCUGCGUCCGUGUGAAGCUCCUUCGACGAGUCGAGUUGUUUGGGAAUGCAGCUCUAAAUGGGUGGUAAAUUUCAUCUAAAGCUAAAUACUGGCCGGAGACCGAUAGCGCACAAGUAGAGUGAUCGAAAGAUGAAAAGCACUUUGAAAAGAGAGUUAAACAGCACGUGAAAUUGUUGAAAGGGAAGCGUUUGCGACCAGACUCGCCCGCGGGGUUCAGCCGGCAUUCGUGCCGGUGUACUUCCCCGUGGGCGGGCCAGCGUCGGUUUGGGCGGCCGGUCAAAGGCCCUCGGAAUGUAUCACCUCUCGGGGUGUCUUAUAGCCGAGGGUGCAAUGCGGCCUGCC
rnacentral:rRNA from 1 species